CAAUAGCGUAUAUUAAAGUUGUUGCGGUUAAAAAGCUCGUAGUUGGAGUUCUGCCAGGUGCCGCCUGUCCGCCCCAGUGGUGAGUACGUGGCGCGCAUUUGGCCCUUUCAAGGGGAGCGUAUCUGCACUUUAUUGUGUGGUGCGGGAUCCUUGACUUUUACUUUGAGGAAAUAGGAGUGUUCCAAGCAGGCUCUCGUCGUGCACAGCUCAGCAUGGAAUAAUAGCAUUGGACCUCGAUUCUAAGCUGUUGGUUGCCAGAAGCGAGGUAAUGAUGAAGAGGGAUAGUUGGGGGCAUUCGUAUUUAACUGUCAGAGGUGAAAUUCUUGGAAUUGUUAAAGACGGACUACUGCGAAAGCAUCUGCCAUGGAUGUUUUCAUUGA
rnacentral:rRNA from 1 species